rnacentral:rRNA from 1 species
AUUGAACGCUGGCGGCAUGCCUUACACAUGCAAGUCGAACGGCAGCACGGGUGCUUGCACCUGGUGGCGAGUGGCGAACGGGUGAGUAAUACAUCGGAACAUGUCCUGUAGUGGGGGGUAGCCCGGCGAAAGCCGGAUUAAUACCGCAUACGAUCUACGGACGAAAGCGGGGGACCUUCGGGCCUCGCGCUAUAGGGUUGGCCGAUGGCUGAUUAGCUAGUUGGUGGGGUAAAGGCCUACCAAGGCGACGAUCAGUAGCUGGUCUGAGAGGACGACCAGCCACACUGGGACUGAGACACGGCCCAGACUCCUACGGGAGGCAGCAGUGGGGAAUUUUGGACAAUGGGCGAAAGCCUGAUCCAGCAAUGCCGCGUGUGUGAAGAAGGCCUUCGGGUUGUAAAGCACUUUUGUCCGGAAAGAAAUCCUUGGCCCUAAUACGGUCGGGGGAUGACGGUACCGGAAGAAUAAGCACCGGCUAACUACGUG